AAUCACACAGCACACUCUCUGUCUCUGGUGGGAUUAUCCGUGUGUGUGUAAGAGAGAGAGAGAGAGAGAGAGAGAGAACACACUGCGUCUGCGUGCUGGGGGAGGAGUGUCUCUCUCUCGUUUUUCUCCUCCUGCUCUGGACUUUCUCCACCCUCCCACUUCUCUCUUUAUUUCUUUCUCUCUCUCUCUCUCUCUGAAGUGCAAGGCCAUGUGGGACGAGUGAUGAGGAGUUUCUCUUCUGUAUGUCUCCUGUUUCAUUUACCCCUCCCCUCUCUCUCUCUCUCUUUCUCUCUCUGUCUUUCGCUUUCCGUACUCGUUCGGAUUCCCAGUCUCUUCUGUCUUUAAGCUGUGUGUGAGGUGGGGACUGAGUGCUGGAGACCAGUUUAGAGAAAGAGAAGGAAAAAAGGAAAAAACAGAGCUGCUUUGCUGCCGUGGGGCCUCUCGAGUAGCGAUCCCAGCGGAGGGAGAGAGAGAGAGAGGGGACGAGAGCCGUACCACAGCCCACCCCAGACCUGCCAACACGUUCCUGUUGUCCAGCACAUUGCUGCGUUUUUUCCAUGCACCUGAGCCAGCGUUUGCAGCGAAUAACCAACCGUGAUGUUUUUAGCGACUUUGUAGGCCACGUUGCUUUUUAGAAUGUUGCGUUUCAGUGAGCGGGUGAGCGGGAGGACGGAGCGUUCCUGCACCCCAAACCGCCAUCCCAGUGAAGCGCCAGAGGCCCGAGCGUCGCUCUGAAGGAUUUGCCCGCGUUUUGGAAGUACAGACCCGCGGCAGAGUCUCCUCGAGGGAGUUGUGCCGUGCCGGAGCUCUUCUCUGGGACAGGUGCCAAUUGUUCACAAAAGGCGACGAGAAAAAAACCUGCGAGCGUGGAGGUGAUCCGCAGCAUGUUGGAGACUCAUGUGGGGGGCGAAGAGGAUUCCUCCUUCGCUCAAACUCGCACAACUUCUGAAGAAAGCUGCAAAACACCUUCCGAAACAAAACAUUUCAGGUGCUUGAGACGGAAAACUAGGAUACUGAAGGAAGAGGUUUGCCGGAGAUGAUGAUGAUGGUUGUGGUGGUGGGGGUCCAGCUUGGUAAAUGUUUCUCAGGCCUCGCAUGAGUGGUGGUAACCGAGGCACCAUUUGCAUACGGCAGACACGCUAAUUGUGUGUUUGCUAACACGCAUCAUUCAGCGUUCUGCAGACGGGGUUUACACACGCCUCAUAGACACCCCAGAGGCCUCCUUUUGUUCCGGCGGAGCGGCCGUGAGCUCGACCGAGGGUCCGCACGGGUCUUGCUCCGGACAGAUGGAGCUCAGAGCUCUUCUCUCUCGUGUUCUGCACAGGGCCGUCUGAGGAUUUCAGGAACCUUUUGGAUAGAUCGGGAGAGGAAGAGACGUCUGAGAUGAACUGAAGCAGCCCUGCACUGGUGCGGUGAUGAGUUCCUCUCCCAUGGGCCGCUGUCUUCCCACAUUUCCAGCGAGCAGAUGGCCUGAUGGCGUGGCGUGGGAUCUCUCGCAGCAGGACGCGCUCGUGUACGUCAGGAAAAUCUGCAGAAGCGCUCUUUGAAGGACAAAUGUGCAGAAACAGACUGAAGAAGGGACAGAAGACGAGGAUUAAAUAUGGAUCACAGGAAGGGGAUUUCAUGAGAAUCAACAUAAAGUUGCAAACCAUUUAACUCAUGAUGACGUCUGACACAUUUCUGACAGGACUUUAAUGAGGACAAAAUGUAGGGCGGGGCUUAAUGUCAUCCAUUGGUCUCUAUGAUUGGAUGGUAAGAGGAGAUGAUCUGGAAACAUCAGAAGAGAGAAUCAGAGAAUAUUGAAGUUUUCGAUGCUUGUUUUAUGUCAUAACCUUCACAAGCGGAAGGAAGCAGUUCAGAGGUCUGUUCAUCAGUCCUUUGGGGUGAGGUAGUAGGUUGUAUAGUUGUGGGGUGAUACACUUCCUGUUAGAUAACUAUACAACUUACUGUCUUUCCUGAAGAGGCUGUAAUAUCUUCAUCAUCAUCGUCAUCACGCCAGGCGGAUGUAAAACAUCUCAGCAGCCUAAAAAAUAAACCUCAUCCAUCACUGAAACAACUUGAUUCCUCAUUAAAAGUGAAUGACUCACACGUGUGAAAUGUGUCAUUGGUUGGCGUGUGGCUGGAUUUAUAAACGAAUGGCUUAAUUACGGGAUGGUUUUGUGCACUCCUGAUGUUCGUACAGGGUGAGGUAGUAGGUUGUGUGGUUUCAGGGUAGUGAUUUUGCCCCAUCAGGAGGUAACUAUACAACCUACUGCCUUCCCUGGAGGGCAGCGACGCAGCCACUGACCAUCAGCAGAGGACGAUGACAUCAUCGCUUCCAGACGGAUAUACAGGUACGUUCAAAUGAUCUUCAAAUAUGUAUCAUUGCACUAUACUCAAUUGUUUAAGUUUUUGUCAAGUCAAAGUGAUGAAACUAUAAGGACAUCUCUUAAAAGUCCAUGUUGGUGUAUAAACUCCGCAAUAAAACUGUAUAUAAAAAGUG